rnacentral:rRNA from 1 species
UGAGCAAUCUGCCCUUCUCUUUGGAAUAAGCGUUGGAAACGACGUCUAAUGCCGAAUACGACCUCCUUUCGCAUGAUCGGAGGUGGAAAGCUCCGGCGGAGAAGGAUGAGCUCGCGGCCUAUCAGCUUGUUGGUGAGGUAACGGCUCACCAAGGCUUCGGACGGGUAGCCGGCCUGAGAGGGGCGACCGGCCACACUGGGACUGAGAUACGGCCCAGACUCCGUACGGGAGGNAGCG